GACGAACGCUGGCGGCGUGCUUAACACAUGCAAGUCGAACGGAAAGGCCCUGCUUUUGUGGGGUGCUCGAGUGGCGAACGGGUGAGUAACACGUGAGUAACCUGCCCUUUACUUUGGGAUAACUUCAGGAAACUGGGGCUAAUACCGGAUAGGAGCUCCUGCUGCAUGGUGGGGGUUGGAAAGUUUCGGCGGUUGGGGUUGGACUCGCGGCUUAUCAGCUUGUUGGUGGGGUAGUGGCUUACCAAGGCUUUGACGGGUAGCCGGCCUGAGAGGGUGACCGGCCACAUUGGGACUGAGAUACGGCCCAGACUCCUACGGGAGGCAGCAGUGGGGAAUAGUGCACAAUGGGCGGAAGCCUGAUGCAGCAACGCCGCGUGCGGGAUGACGGCCUUCGGGUUGUAAACCGCUUUCGCCUGUGACGAAGCGUGAGUGACGGUAAUGGGUAAAGAAGCACCGGCUAACUACGUG
rnacentral:rRNA from 1 species